rfam:Beta proteobacterium AAP99 AAP99_Contigs_12, whole genome shotgun sequence.
GGGCUCUUAGCUCAGUUGGUAGAGCAGCGGACUCUUAAUCCGUUGGUCGUAGGUUCGAAUCCUACAGGGCCCA